CCUACGGGAGGCUGCAGUGAGGAAUAUUGGUCAAUGGACGCAAGUCUGAACCAGCCAUGCCGCGUGCAGGAUGACGGCUCUAUGAGUUGUAAACUGCUUUUGUACGAGGGUAAACCCCGAUACGUGUAUCGGGUUGAAAGUAUCGUACGAAUAAGGAUCGGCUAACUCCGUGCCAGCAGCCGCGGUAAUACGGAGGAUCCGAGCGUUAUCCGGAUUUAUUGGGUUUAAAGGGUGCGUAGGCGGUUUGAUAAGUUAGAGGUGAAAUGUCGGGGCUCAACCCCGAAACUGCCUCUAAUACUGUUGGACUAGAGAAUAGUUGCGGUAGGCGGAAUGUAUGGUGUAGCGGUGAAAUGCUUAGAUAUUGCGCAGAACUCCGAUUGCGAAGGCAGCAUACCGGCGGCGAUCUGACGCUGAGGCACGAAAGCGUGGGUAUCGAACAGGAUUAGAUACCCGAGUAGUC
rnacentral:rRNA from 1 species